AAACCAUAGAGAGAGAUGGAGGGACAGGCCCUAAGAAAUCUCAGCAACCUACAAAAGUGUGGUGCUAAUGCCUGAGCGAUGGAAG
rnacentral:ncRNA from 2 species